rnacentral:rRNA from 1 species
GAUGAACGCUGGCUACAGGCUUAACACAUGCAAGUCGAGGGGAAACGGCAUUGAGUGCUUGCACUGAAUGGACGUCGACCGGCGCACGGGUGAGUAACGCGUAUCCAACCUUCCCGUUACUGCGGGAUAACCUGCCGAAAGGCAGACUAAUACCGCAUGUUCUUCGAUGACGGCAUCAGAUUCGAAGCAAAGAUCCGUCGGUAACGGAGGGGGAUGCGUCUGAUUAGCUAGUUGGCGGGGCGACGGCCCACCAAGGCGACGAUCAGUAGGGGUUCUGAGAGGAAGGUCCCCCACAUGGGAACUGAGACACGGUCCAAACUCCUACGGGAGGCAGCAGUGAGGAAUAUUGGUCAAUGGGCGGAAGCCUGAACCAGCCAAGUAGCGUGCAGGAUGACGGCCCUACGGGUUGUAAACUGCUUUUAUGCGGGGAUAAAGUGAGGGACGCGUCCCUUUUUGCAGGUACCGCAUGAAUAAGGACCGGCUAAUUCCGUG